AAGUGAACAGAUGCUCCAGGGUGUUGGGCCUUGCCUCUACCCCCUGGGGUGUCAGUACAGUUCCUUCUCCCCAGGAGAGCCUCUGGGACGCAGCAGGAGCCGUGGCCCUCCGUUCUCCUCUCCCUGUUGCCUCUGAGCCCCCGCUCUCAGGCCCUUCUUUUCUCAGUGGGUGUCACAUGGUCUCACUGUCUGUGAAUGAGCUGCAUUCUGCCCCCGUCCAUGAGGAGCUGAGUGUGGCACUCAGGCAGUUGGUGCAGCCUGGUGGACAGUGGUGCUGACCACCUGGAGCCCUGGGGCACUGGGAGUGGAGCCCUGGUCAGGUCAUGCCUGUGUGUGCUGAUCUGCCUGGGCUGGGCCACUGAGAAUGCGUGUCUUAUGAGAAUAGGGGAAUCUAGAACGUGUUGGAUUUACUUUGACCUAAACUCCUGACUUCUGAACUCCCAUUUCCCCCACUUUUGGGGACUAACUUAAAAAAAAAAACUCCUUUAGAGAUUUCUUCUUAAAAGCUAAAUUCCGGGCCACGUGUGGUGGCCCACACCUGUAAUCCCAGCACUUUGGGAGGCUGAGGCAAGAAGAUCACUUGAGCCCAGGAGUUUGAGACCAGCCAGACUCAUUUCUGCAAAAAAUAAAAAAUUAGCCAGGCAUGGUGUCAUGUACCUGCAGUCUCAGCUACUUGGGAGGCUGAGGCAGGAGGAUCACUUGAGCCCAGGAGCUCAAGGCUGCAGUGAGCUAUGAUUGCGCCACUGCACUGGGUGACAAGAGCGUGACUGUCUGGGGGGAAAAAAAAAAAAAAGAAUUCUUAAACAGGCUUGUUGACUUCGCAGACUGCUUUUGGCUUCUGGAUGCCCUCCUCCAGUACACAUCUUAUGGGGUGACACCUCCUAGCCUCAGUCACUCUGGGAACCGCCAGCGCCCUCCCAGUGGAGCAGGUUCAGUCACUCCAGAGAGGAUGGAAGGUGAGUGGAUGGGCAGGAUGCCUUGGGGAGGGAAUUGGAUCCAGCUGAACAUGAUGCUACUUCAGCCAGUGGCUGUGCCUGCCAGCAAGUGGGGCCAGUUUGUGUGCGCCGCUGAGUGGUUUUCGUAAUGGCUGCGGGUAGACCAGCACUCAGCGGCUCUAACCUGCCGAGAGGCCAUCCUUAGUCCCCAGAGGGCCAUGAUCGAGGACCCAGUGUGCAGCUGCUUUCCCAUGCGCGCCCCGACCGUCAUGCCCCUCCGAGUGUGUUUACCGUCCUGCUCUCACAGGUGAGGACAGUGGCUCCUACAGAUCUUCAGGAAGAAUCACCAACAUUCUAGAGCACUUGCCAGGUCCCAGGCAGCAGGCUGGGAUGCUCCCAUGGAUUACCUCACUGUCCCCUCUCAGUAAUCCUGUGAAGAUAGAUAUUAUUAUUCUCAGUUUCCAGAUGAGGAAAUGAGAGCUGAGAGAAAUUAGAUAACUGCCUGAGAUUGCCCGGGCGGUAUGUGGUGGUGGAGCCUCAACCCGCCUCUGGGGCCUGUGCUGGUGCCGUGGGGCCCCCAGCUGCUUGACACUUAGUGGGGUGGGUAUCAGUGCCUGUAAGUCUCUGGUGUGCUGGUCCUUACAGUGGUGCCCGUAGAAGGCUCAUGGGAGCCACGGGCAUCAUUUAAAAUUUUCCAGGAGCUGCGUUUAAAAAGUAAAAAGAAACACAGAUGAAACUAUUUUAAUAAUAUACUUGAGCCCAAGACAUGGAGAAUAUUAGAAUUUAAACACGUGAUACCUUAUUUCAGUUGCUUAAUAGCUACAUGUGGUUGGCAGCUACAGUGUUCAAUGGUGCAGAUCUAAGAAAUAGAAAGAAUCUUGAAAAUGCAGAGUGGUUUUUUAUUUGGCCAGAGAAUUAAAUAUCUUAGAAGAGAAGUAUUUUUUCCAUGAAACCGGUCUGUAGCUUUGAUUACGCAGGUGUAGCCUUGCGUGUGUUAGUGGUGGUCAGCAAAGGUUGACCAGCCAGUGCCAUGCACACAUCUGCCGGUCUUCAAGGGAACGGUUCUGAUUUUCUCACCCACCUUCAGCAAUGGAAACACACAUUGUCCAGGAGGAACCAAUUGGGCGUGGCUCCUGCAGCUCAUGGAGAAUAGCUUAAUAGAGCACAGGGGCUCUGUGCUCUGUUGUGGGAAAGCAGACAAACUCAUAAUAAAGCCCUGUUUUUUCCUUUGCAUUUUAAUAAUAGAGAUGAUUUUCUUUUUUGUUGAUGUUGCUGCUAACCACAGGAAACCAUCUUCAUCGGUACUCCAAGGUUCUGGAGGCCCAUUUGGGAGACCCAAAACCUCGGCCUCUGCCACCCUGUCCACACUUGUCUUGGGCCAAGCCACAGCCUUUAAACGAGACGGCACCCAGUAACCUUUGGAAACAUCAGAAGCUACUCUCCAUCGACCUGGACAAGGUGGUGUUACCCAAUUUUCGAUCGAAUCGCCCUCAAGUGAGGCCCUUGUCCCCUGGAGAGAGCGGCGCCUGGGACAUUCCUGGAGGGAUCAUGCCUGGCCGCUACAACCAGGAGGUGGGCCAGACCAUUCCUGUCUUUGCCUUCCUGGGAGCCAUGGUGGUCCUGGCCUUCUUUGUGGUACAAAUCAACAAGGCCAAGAGCAGGCCGAAGCGGAGGAAGCCCAGGGUGAAGCGCCCGCAGCUCAUGCAGCAGGUUCACCCGCCAAAGACCCCUUCGGUGUGACCGGCAGCCUGGCUGACCGUGAGGGCCAGAGAGAGCCUUCACGGACGGCGCUGGUGGGUGAGCCGAGCUGUGGUGGCGGCUGGUUUAAAAGGGAUCCAGUUUCCAGCUGCAGGUUUGUUAGAGUCUGUUCUACAUGGGCCUGCCCUCCUGUGAUGGGCAGAGGCUCCUGGUACAUCGAGAAGAAUCCUGUGGGUCCCGUCAGGAGGGACUUAGUGGCUCUGCCACCAGUGAGACGUCCCACCGGCAGCUGUGCGCACCAAAGACUCGGGAGAACCUGGAAAGGCUGUCUGGGGUCUUCUAACUGCAAGGGAAGGAUGUACUUUCCAAACAAAUGAUACAACCCUGACCAAGCUAAAAUAUGCUUGUUAAAGGCUAUUUUCUAUAUUUAUUGUUGGGAAAAGUCACUUUAAAGACUUGUGCUAUUUGGAAGCAAAGCUAUUUUUUUUGUCAGUGGAAUGCAGUUUUUUUUACUAUUCCAUCAUGAGGAACAACAUAGAUUCCAUAAUCUUUUUAAUGACAGGACAGACUGAGAUUUGAAGGAAACAUGCACAAAUCUGUGAAACAUACAUAGACCUUCGCUUUAUUUUUGUAAGUAUCACCUGCCACCAUGUUUUGUAAUUUGAGGUCUUGAUUUCACCAUUGUUGGUGAAGAAAAUUUUCAAUAAAUAUGUAUUACCCGUC
rnacentral:sRNA from 1 species